AUUGAACGCUGGCGGCAGGCCUAACACAUGCAAGUCGAACGGUAGCACAGAGAGCUUGCUCUCGGGUGACGAGUGGCGGACGGGUGAGUAAUGUCUGGGAAACUGCCUGAUGGAGGGGGAUAACUACUGGAAACGGUAGCUAAUACCGCAUAACGUCGCAAGACCAAAGAGGGGGACCUUCGGGCCUCUUGCCAUCAGAUGUGCCCAGAUGGGAUUAGCUAGUAGGUGGGGUAACGGCUCACCUAGGCGACGAUCCCUAGCUGGUCUGAGAGGAUGACCAGCCACACUGGAACUGAGACACGGUCCAGACUCCUACGGGAGGCAGCAGUGGGGAAUAUUGCACAAUGGGCGCAAGCCUGAUGCAGCCAUGCCGCGUGUAUGAAGAAGGCCUUCGGGUUGUAAAGUACUUUCAGCGGGGAGGAAGGUGUUGUGGUUAAUAACCACAGCAAUUGACGU
rnacentral:rRNA from 1 species